GGGCGGCCACUCCUUGCCCCGCCCCGCGUCCCCUACCGCACGCGGCAGAUGCGGAGGGCGGGUUUCCUAGGCAACCGCGGCGAGCCGUGCGUACGCGGCGGGCCGGGGCCGGAGAGGGGUCGCGGUCCGCUGCAAGACAGGGCCUGGGAGGGCAGAGCGGACUGUGCCCUGUCUUGGAUCACCCCGGAACUCAUCCUCCCUCAGGAAGAAGAUAUAUUAUUAUGACCAUCAUUUUUAAUGGAAGAUGAUUGAAAGUGAAAGCCUAAACCAAGAAGAAAUAAUUAAAGAGCUGGGCUUACAAACUUUGAAGAAUUUAAAUGAUCUUAACCUUGCUGGGAAUCUAAUAAGCAGAAUAGGCAAAUGUCUUGACCCCAAUGACCACCUGGAAAGAUUAAACCUCUCUGGCAAUCAAAUAUGUUAUUUCAAGGUAUGUUUAAGUGGAAU